UACAGAGGGUGCGAGCGUUAAUCGGAAUUACUGGGCGUAAAGCGAGUGUAGGUGGCUCAUUAAGUCACAUGUGAAAUCCCCGGGCUUAACCUGGGAACUGCAUGUGAUACUGGUGGUGCUAGAAUAUGUGAGAGGGUAGUAGAAUUCCAGGUGUAGCGGUGAAAUGCGUAGAGAUCUGGAGGAAUACCGAUGGCGAAGGCAGCUUCCUGGCAUAAUAUUGACACUGAGAUUCGAAAGCGUGGGUAGCAAACAGGAUUAGAUACCCCCGUAGUCC
rnacentral:rRNA from 1 species